ACCAGGGUUCCUCGGACGGGACGCGAGCGCAACCAGACCACCACCACCUCCUCGAGCUUCCCCUCCCCCCUCCUCUGCUGCAACCGCUUCGUUUCCUCCUCCAAGUUCCCCCCAAAUUGAGCUCCGAUUCGGCGUCCCCAUCCCGAAUCGCGCAGUUGUUCCACCCUGAAAAUCGCCGCCGGACUGGACCCGCGGAUGGAGUGACCAGUUAGGGUUCCGAAGCCGGCAAUGGAGGCGCAGUGGCUCGCCGAGUACCCGCACCAGGGCGCCGACAAGCGGCCGCGCAAGCGGCCCCGGCUCGCCUGGGAUGUCGCGCCCACGGUGUUCCAGCCCCCCAAGGCAAUUCCAAUGCUAUAUUGUGGGCAGGAACUAAUCAAUGGUAAUUUUGCGACUGCUUUUCUGCCGCCGCCACCAAUUUAUUACACCGGACCUCCACGGAAUCUUUCACCUCCAUGGAGGCCUGAUGACAAGGAUGGGCACUAUGUUUUUGCAGUUGGGGAGAAUCUCACACCAAGAUAUAGGAUACUUAGCAAGAUGGGUGAAGGGACAUUUGGACAAGUUUUGGAGUGCUGGGACUUGGAAAACCAAGAAGCAGUGGCUAUCAAGAUUGUGCGCUCCCUCCAGAAAUACCGAGAGGCUGCUAUGAUAGAAAUUGACGUGCUUCAGAGACUUGGAAAGCAUGAUUUUACUGGCAGCCGUUGUGUGCAAAUACGGAAUUGGUUUGACUAUCGUAAUCAUAUAUGUAUAGUAUUUGAAAAGCUCGGGCCAAGCUUAUAUGACUUUCUGCGAAAGAAUAGCUACCGUUCAUUUCCGAUCGACCUUGUUCGUGAAUUUGCCAGACAAAUAUUAGAGUCUGUUGCAUUUAUGCAUGACUUGCGACUUAUUCACACGGAUCUGAAGCCAGAGAACAUUCUCCUUGUUUCAGCGGAGUCUAUUAGGGUGCCUGAUUAUAAGGUUUUUAUACGACCACCCAAGGAUGGUUCUUUCUUCAAGAACCUUCCAAAAUCUAGUGCAAUCAAGCUUAUUGAUUUUGGGAGUACUGCAUUUGAGCACCAAGACCACAAUUAUGUGGUGUCGACAAGACAUUAUCGUGCACCCGAAGUUAUCCUUGGUCUUGGGUGGAACUAUCCAUGCGACUUGUGGAGCGUGGGUUGUAUUUUAGUUGAGCUCUGUUCGGGCGAAGCUCUCUUUCAAACUCAUGAAAAUUUGGAGCAUUUGGCUAUGAUGGAGAGGGUCUUAGGACCCUUGCCAAAGCAUAUGAUUGUCAGAGCUGAUCGACGUGCUGAAAAAUACUUCAAGCGCGGAGUAAGGUUGGACUGGCCAGAGGGGGCGGCCUCACGAGAGAGCAUGAAGGCAGUCUGGAAAUUGCCUCGUCUGCAGAAUCUUGUGAUGCAACAUGUUGAUCAUUCUGCUGGAGAUCUAAUAGAUCUUCUUCAAGGACUUCUUCGGUAUGAUCCUAAUGAGCGCCUUAAAGCACGUGAAGCUCUACGACACCCUUUCUUUACCAGAUGCAUCAGAAGAUGUGGUUUCUGAGGCUAUACUGAGAUUGAAAAUCUCAAUGCUGUAUUUCUUCAUUUUGAUGUUUAAGAACUACAAAAAAAGUGGAGAUGUUCUACGAAAAAUGAAAUAUGCUAACUUGCAUUCUGUUCAAUGAUGUGAAAGACCAGUCAGUACUAGCAGGUAGCAUGCAGAAAUCUCUAACUAGGUGGAGUCAAUUGAUGAUAAGUGGGAUUCCAGUGGCUUGCAUGGAAGACUGGUACACUAUAUUUAAUGGUGGUAUUCGGUGAGCAUACUUGUCAACA